CUCCCGUCCUCCCCAUCCCGCCGCCGCUGUCGCCUCCCGAUCCGAUCCGCCCAGCCCCUCCUCCCAUCCCGCCCAGCCCCGCCGCCUAAGUAUGUGUUACAAUCUAUAACAACUCUGGUUAUGCAGGUUGCGACGAUGGCGCUGCUAACCAAUGUUUCUGUGGAUCAAAUGGAACAGCUCAAUGAGGGUUUUGCCUCUGGAUUGGACGUCCUUCAGCAAGCUCUGCAUACCAUCAACAAGCUCGUUGAAGCGGCACAAGAGUGGCCGACGAGUGGCCGACGUUACAGCUCCAACAGCUGACGGAGAAGCUUGAAAGAGAAGCCCAUUCCAGAGCUGACUUGGAGAAGGAGCUUGACAAGGAGAGGAAGACCAAGGCUCUUGUGGAGGAGGAGGUUGACAAGGAGAGGAAGGCCAAGGCUCUUGUGGAGGAGGAGGUUGACAAGGAGAGGAAGGCCAAGGCCACGUACAAGCAGCAGAUAGCAAAGAACCAAACUGAAGCGAAGAAAAGGAAGAGUGAUAUGGCCACUAUCUGAAGCAGACAACAGCCGCAUCCAGCAACAAUUAAAAGCAGCAGACAAAGGACCAAGCAAGAAAAAUGCUGGAGCUGGGGUCAAGACUUCUCGAACAGGUGGCAAGUGAGGUUUACAGGGCAUCACAAGGAUGGAGGAUCAACGACGCGAGGAUUCAAGCCUGAGGCUGCUUUGGUGGUGUGGAUUUGUCUCCACAGGCGCUGAUCUCCUUGUAAUAGGUCUAGUCUGCUUGUUGAUGCCUGUUUUGCUUAGGUGACACUCCUGUUGUGCGCUCCCUGGUGGUGGCUUUUGUUUAGAGGGCUUAACUCCUGCGUUGGAUCUUAUUACUUUCGGCUUUGUUAGUUAGCUGUUUGCUGCGUU